rnacentral:rRNA from 1 species
UGGGGAAUAUUGGACAAUGGGCGAAAGCCUGAUCCAGCCAUGCCGCGUGUGUGAAGAAGGUCUUCGGAUUGUAAAGCACUUUAAGUUGGGAGGAAGGGCAGUAAGCGAAUACCUUGCUGUUUUGACGUUACCGACAGAAUAAGCACCGGCUAACUCUGUGCCAGCAGCCGCGGUAAUACAGAGGGUGCAAGCGUUAAUCGGAAUUACUGGGCGUAAAGCGCGCGUAGGUGGUUCGUUAAGUUGAAUGUGAAAGCCCCGGGCUCAACCUGGGAACUGCAUCCAAAACUGGCGAGCUAGAGUAGGGCAGAGGGUGGUGGAAUUUCCUGUAUAGCGGUGAAAUGCGUAGAUAUAGGAAGGAACACCAGUGGCGAAGGCGACCACCUGGGCUCAUACUGACACUGAGGUGCGAAAGCGUGGGGAGCAAACAGG